rnacentral:rRNA from 1 species
AUUGAACGCUGGCGGCAGGCCUAACACAUGCAAGUCGAGCGGAUGAAGGGAGCUUGCUCCUGGAUUCAGCGGCGGACGGGUGAGUAAUGCCUAGGAAUCUGCCUGGUAGUUUGGGAUAACGUCCGGAAACGGGCGCUAAUACCGCAUACGUCCUGAGUGAGAAAGUGGGGGAUCUUCGGACCUCUCGCUAUCGGAUGAGCCUAGGUCGGAUUAGCUAGUUGGUGGGGUAAAGGCCUACCAAGGCGACGAUCCGUAACUGGUCUGAGAGGAUGAUCGGUCACACUGGAACUGAGACACGGUCCAGACUCCUACGGGAGGCAGCAGUGGGGAAUAUUGGACAAUGGGCGAAAGCCUGAUCCAGCCAUGCCGCGUGUGUGAAGAAGGUCUUCGGAUUGUAAAGCACUUUAAGUUGGGAGGAAGGGCAGUAAGUUAAUACCUUGCUGUUUUGACGUUACCAACAGAAUAAGCACCGGCUAACUUCGUG